UUAAUACAAUUCCCGCAAUUAAUGAACCCCACAGGUAGUACGGGUUGUUUAUGGUUUUCCCCCACAGCGUGUUGCCCUAAGGUAACUUAGUAGCCCCAACUCCCGGGUUAAUUCAAACAGGAUAAGGUACCUUUCUGGAAAGGGGGAGGGAAUUUUGAUUUCGGGGAGUGUUGCCCUCCAGGCGUUUCGCGGGGAGUGCUCCCGAGCGCUGCGUUUUUCAUCUUAAAAGCCCGUUGGGUUUAAUUUUCCAAUAAAAAAGAGCGGAGUUUGUUUUGAGGGGGGCGGGUUUUUCCCACUACCCUUAUAUUACUAGUCUUGUUAUGUUCAACAAAAUGCCUCUGCGACCUUGUCACAGGUUUCCUCGGGAUUAUGUCUAACCACGGGGUAACCUGGAGAGACCACCGAACAAGGCUCUUUACUGCCAAAAGACGGAUCGACGUAUAUUACGUAGCCCCAAGGGCGAUAUGAACCCCGUUUAGGGGACUGAAAGUGACCCUGAAACCCUUCGGAUGCAAGCUUUGGAAGCACGAUUUCUUGUGGGACCGCGCUCUUUUGCCUGCGCCGUCCACUGAUUUCCCUUAAGUUCUAUCGCUAGGCACUUAAGGUGCGAACCCUUAGCGGAAGUGAGUCUUACCUGAGGGUUCGGUUAGUUGUUGUAGACCAGUAUCAGGGCGUCCUAGCCUUGAGCAGGACGAAGCGAUAGUAAAGUUUCGUAGAGGUCCGAACCCACGAGCGUUGAAAAGCUCGGGGAUGACUUGUGGGUAGCGGUGAAAUUCCAAUCGAGCCCGGAGAUAGCUGGUUCUCCCCGAAAUAGCUUUAGGGCUAGCCUCAAGGUGAGAGAUACGGAGGUAGAGCACUGAAUGUCCUAGGGGGUAUUGCACCUACCGAAGACUAUCAAACUCCGAAUGCCGUCAUCUUAUACUUGGGAGUCAGACUGUGGGUGAUAAGAUUCAUAGUCGAAAGGGCAACAGCCCAGAUCGUCAGCUAAGGUCCCUAAAUGUAAGUUAAGUGGUAAAGGAUGUGGGAUUGCACAGACAACCAGGAUGUUGGCUUAGAAGCAGCCACUCAUUCAAAGAGUGCGUAAUAGCUCACUGGUCGAGUGAUCCUGCGCCGAAGAUUUCCGGGGCUAAAACUUACUACCGAAGCUACGGCAUCAGUAAUGAUGGGUAGGGGAGCUUCCCAUACGGGUUGAAGCAUGACCGUAAGGACAUGUGGACAGUAUGGGAGUGAGAAUGUUGGCAUGAGUAGCGAGAUGUGGGUGAGAAUCCCACAGGCCGUAAACCCAAGGUUUCCAGGGGAAGGUUCGUCCGCCCUGGGUUAGUCGGGACCUAAGCUGAGGCCGAAAGGCGUAGGUGAUGGACAACAGGUUGAUAUUCCUGUACUACCGAUAACCGUUUGAGAGAAGGGAUGACACAGUAGGAUAAGCUAAGCACACUGUUGGUUAUGUGUGCCCAAGCAUUGAGGCAGUCAAAGUAGGCAAAUCCGCUUUGAUAAUGCUGGGAUGUGAUGGGGAGCGAAAUUUAGUAGCGAAGUAGCUGAUUUCACACUGUCAAGAAAAGUCUCUAUCGAGGUUAAAGGUACCCGUACCGCAAACCGACACAGGUGGGUGAGGAGAGUAUCCUAAGGCCAGCGAGAGAACUGUUGUUAAGGAACUCGGCAAAAUGACCCCGUAACUUAGGGAUAAGGGGUGCCACCAUCAGGUGGCCGCAGAGAAUAGGCCCAAGCGACUGUUUACCAAAAACAUAGGUUUCUGCUAAGUCGCAAGACGAUGUAUAGGAGCUGACGCCUGCCCGGUGCUGGAAGGUUAAGGGGAUCUGUUAGAGCAAUCGAAGCAGUGAACUUAAGCCCCAGUAAACGGCGGCCGUAACUAUAACGGUCCUAAGGUAGCGAAAUUCCUUGUCGGGUAAGUUCCGACCCGCACGAAAGGCGUAACGAUUUGGGCACUGUCUCAACAACAGACUCGGUGAAAUUGUAAUUCCGGUGAAGAUGCCGGAUACCUGCGACAGGACGGAAAGACCCCAUGGAGCUUUACUGUAGCUUGACAUUGGGUCUUGGUACUACAUGUACAGGAUAGGUGGGAGGCUUUGAAACCAGGACGCCAGUUUUGGCGGAGCCAUCCUUGGGAUACCACCCUUGUAGUACUGGGACUCUAACCAUAGGCCAUGAAUCUGGUCUUGGGACACUGUCAGGUGGGCAGUUUGACUGGGGCGGUCGCCUCCCAAAAGGUAACGGAGGCGCUCAAAGGUUCUCUCAGUACGGUCGGAAAUCGUACGUAGAGUGUAAAGGCAAAAGAGAGCUUGAUUGCAAGACAUACAGGUCGAGCAAGGAUGAAAAUCGGACUUAGUGAUCCGGUGGUUCUGCGUGGAAGGGCCAUCGCUCAACGGAUAAAAGCUACCCUGGGGAUAACAGGCUU
rnacentral:rRNA from 1 species